rnacentral:rRNA from 1 species
CCUACGGGAGGCAGCAGUAGGGAAUUUUGCACAAUGGGCGGAAGCCUGAUGCAGCGACGCCGCGUGGAGGAUGAAGGCCUUCGGGUUGUAAACUCCUUUUGUAGGGGACGAUGGUGACGGUACCCUACGAAUAAGCCACGGCUAACUCUGUGCCAGCAGCCGCGGUAAGACAGAGGUGGCGAGCGUUGUUCGGAAUUACUGGGCGUAAAGCGCGUGUAGGCGGAUUGGCGUGUCGGAUGUGAAAGCCCUGGGCUUAACCCAGGAAUUGCGUCCGAAACUGCUUUUCUUGAGUCCGGGAGAGGGGAGUGGAAUUCUCGGUGUAGAGGUGAAAUUCGUAGAUAUCGAGAGGAACACCGGUGGCGAAGGCGGCUCCCUGGACCGGAACUGACGCUGAGACGCGAAAGCGUGGGGAGCAAACAGGAUUAGAUACCCUGGUAGUCCACGCUGUAAACGAUGGGCACUAGAUGUUGCGGGUAUUGACCCCUGCAGUGUCGUAGCUAACGCGUUAAGUGCCCCGCCUAGGGAUUACGGCCGCAAGGUUAAAACUCAAAGGAAUUGACGG